GACAGAGGGGGCAAGCGUUGCUCGGAAUUACUGGGCGUAAAGGGCGCGUAGGCGGGAUGGCAAGUCGGUCGUGAAAUCCCUCGGCUCAACUGAGGAUCGUCGAUCGAUACUGCCGUUCUUGAGGAUUGCAGAGGAGACUGGAAUUCCCGGUGUAGCGGUGAAAUGUGUAGAGAUCGGGAGGAACACCGGUGGCGAAGGCGGGUCUCUGGGCAAUUCCUGACGCUGAGGCGCGAAGGCCAGGGGAGCAAACGGG
rnacentral:rRNA from 1 species